rnacentral:tRNA from 2 species
GGACUGCGCACGGAGAAGCCCCGUAGAAAUGACGGAGGACCCGGGUUCAAUUCCCGGCGGCUCCA